CCUACGGGUGGCAGCAGUGAGGAAUAUUGGUCAAUGGACGAGAGUCUGAACCAGCCAAGUAGCGUGAAGGAUGACUGCCCUAUGGGUUGUAAACUUCUUUUAUAUGGGAAUAAAAUGUUCCACGUGUGGGAUUUUGUAUGUACCAUAUGAAUAAGGAUCGGCUAACUCCGUGCCAGCAGCCGCGGUAAUACGGAGGAUCCGAGCGUUAUCCGGAUUUAUUGGGUUUAAAGGGAGCGUAGGUGGAUUGUUAAGUCAGUUGUGAAAGUUUGCGGCUCAACCGUAACAUUGCAGUUGAAACUGGCAGUCUUGAGUACAGGAGAGGUGGGCGGAAUUCGCGGUGUAGCGGUGAAAUGCUUAGAUAUCACGAAGAACUCCGAUUGCGAAGGCAGUUCACUGGACUGCAACUGACACUGAGGCUCGAAAGUGUGGGUAUCAAACAGGAUUAGAUACCCCUGUAGUC
rnacentral:rRNA from 1 species